rnacentral:rRNA from 1 species
GGCCAGACUCCUACGGGAGGCAGCAGUGGGGGAUAUUGCACAAUGGGGGAAACCCUGAUGCAGCGACACCGCGUGGGUGAGGAAGCGCUUCGGCGUGUAAAGCCCUAUCAGUGGGGAAGAAAAAGGACGGUACCCAAAGAAGAAGCACCGGCUAACUACGUGCCAGCAGCCGCGGUAAUACGUAGGGGGCAAGCGUUAUCCGGAUUUACUGGGUGUAAAGGGAGCGUAGACGGCAAUGCAAGUCUGGAGUGAAAGGCGGGGGCCCAACCCCCGGACUGCUCUGGAAACUGUAUAGCUGGAGUGCAGGAGAGGUAAGUGGAAUUCCUAGUGUAGCGGUGAAAUGCGUAGAUAUUAGGAGGAACACCAGUGGCGAAGGCGGCUUACUGGACUGUAACUGACGUUGAGGCUCGAAAGCGUGGGGAGCAAACAGGAUUAGAUACCCCGGUACU